AAUUAGUUUUUUUAUUGGAAAAUAGAAUGAAAGAAUAUAUUAAAUUAUCAUUUUCUUUUUAUUUUAUUUGAAUUUUUAUUUUAAAUGAAAAUAUUUAAAGUUUUAUAUUAGACAAAAAGACCCUAUGAAGCUUAAGAUAUAAAAUAAUUAAUAUUUAAUAARUAUCUAUUAUUUGGGGAAAAUAAUAAUAAUUUUAUUAAAAUUAAUUUAAUAAAAAAGGAUCCUGUCUCAGGAAUYAUGAAAUAGCUCCUCUAGGGAUAACAGCAUAAUAUUUAUUAAAGUUCUUAUUAACUUAAAUGU
rnacentral:rRNA from 1 species